GAUAUGAAAUUCAGUUUAUUUUGAAAUAAGAAAAUACAGAUUAGUGAACAAAUACAAACUAAAGAGAUAAUUACAGUAAAAGUACAAAGGUAAGAUAAUUAUAAACUAUUUUAUAUGCAAUUAAGGUUUAUAAAAUACUAAGUACUAUUUAUAAAUCUAAAUACUUCAUAGUGUGAAGUGUUUUGACUUUUGAGUUCAUAUUAAAUACUGGUAAACAAUGGCAGUAUUUUAGCAAAAGGUAGUGCAACACUGCAACCUCUAUAAUUAUUAUUUAGGUAUUGUCAGGAUGGAAUUUGAAUCUGUUGGAGCAAGUCUAUCACAGAGAUUUUAUGAACCAUGCAUGCAAUUUGUACAUAAUCAUAUAUUUGCCCAUUAUAUUUAUAAACUGACAGUUAAUACUAUUACUCUUUCACAUACUAAUAAAAUCAUCUGGGGCCGGUAGUUCAAAGGCUUACACGGGCUUCGAACAACCGGGCCCAGAUGAUUUUAUUAGUAUGUGAAAGAGUAAUAGUAUUAACUGUCAGUUUAUAAAUAUAAUGGGCAAAUUAGAGAUGGAGUAUAUAAAAUUAUUACUAAAGUAGGCUCAUUGCCAAUUGAUGGAUUAGGUUAACAUAAUUAAUAAACUAUAGAUGGUUUUGUUGCAUCUCACUCGAUGGAAAUUUUAAUGUUG